rnacentral:rRNA from 1 species
GAGCGCCCCGCAAGGGGAGCGGCAGACGGGAGAGUAACACGUGGGAACGUGCCCUUUGGUUCGGAACAACCCAGGGAAACUUGGGCUAAUACCGGAUAAGCCCUUACGGGGAAAGAUUUAUCGCCGAAGGAUCGGCCCGCGUCUGAUUAGCUACUUGGUGGGGUAACGGCUCACCAAGGCGACGAUCAGUAGCUGGUCUGAGAGGAUGAUCAGCCUCACUGGGACUGAGACACGGCCCAGACUCCUACGGGAGGCAGCAGUGGGGAAUAUUGGACAAUGGGCGCAAGCCUGAUCCAGCCAUGCCGCGUGGGUGAUGAAGGCCCUAGGGUUGUAAAGCCCUUUCGGCGGGGAAGAUAGCUCCGGUACCCGCAGAAGAAGCCCCGGCUAACUUCGUG